UACGUAGGGUGCGAGCGUUAAUCGGAAUUACUGGGCGUAAAGCGUGCGCAGGCGGUUCGUUGUGUCGGCGGUGAAAGCCCCGGGCUCAACCUGGGAAUGGCCGUUGAAACUGGCGAACUGGAGUGUGGCAGAGGGGGGGUGGAAUUCCGCGUGUAGCAGUGAAAUGCGUAGAUAUUUGGAGGAACACCGAUGGCGAAGGCAGCCCCCUGGGCUAACACUGACGCUCAUGCACGAAAGCGUGGGGAGCAAACAGG
rnacentral:rRNA from 1 species